ACCUGGUUGAUCCUGCCAGUAGUCAUAUGCUUGUCUCAAAGAUUAAGCCAUGCAUGUCUAAGUAUAAGCGACUUGUACUGUGAAACUGCGAAUGGCUCAUUAAAUCAGUUAUGGUUUAUUUGAUGGUACCUUACUACUUGGAUAACCGUAGUAAUUCUAGAGCUAAUACAUGCAGGAAGUCCCGACUUCGGAAGGGAUGUAUUUAUUAGAUAAGAAACCAAUCCGGUCUUCCGGUUGCGUGCUGAGUCACAAUAACUUUUCGAAUCGCAUGGCCUUGCGCCGGCGAUGGUUCAUUCAAAUUUCUGCCCUAUCAGCUUUCGAUGGUAGGAUCGAGGCCUACCAUGGCGUUUACGGGUAACGGAGAAUUAGGGUUCGAUUCCGGAGAGGGAGCCUGAGAAAUGGCUACCACAUCCAAGGAAGGCAGCAGGCGCGUAAAUUGCCCGAAUCCUGACACAGGGAGGUAGUGACAAGAAAUAACAAUACAGGGCUACAUUAGUCUUGUAAUUGGAAUGAGUACAAUUUACAACUCUUAACGAGGAUCAAUUGGAGGGCAAGUCUGG
rnacentral:rRNA from 1 species